AUGCUAUAAUUAGACAUUGGGGAGCCAAGCUGACGUGGACUUUUGUGGAGAGCGGACGGGCCAUACCCAGCUCUUGCUCCACUUGACCAGUUUGUACAGAAAAUGUAGGGUCCCAUACUGUAUAUGUUGUCAGAAGAGUAGCCAGGCUAUUCUAUUGCCAACCAUAAACUGUAAUGGCAGAAGGAAGCGUGGAUCCGUUGCUUGGCAACAGUGCAGUUGACAUCAAGUUCAUUGUGGAGAAUGUUUAUCGUGAUCUUAUCAUUCGACACGUUCGAUGUGGAUCCUUGGUUGCACAUAUGUGUUUUCCUCAAAGCAAGUCAGAGGAAAUCAUAAAGAUUAUAUCCCAAGGAAACGACCAUUAAGAAAUAGCAGCCACAACAUUAUUCUUGGACACCCUCAAAGAUGGCGAGGAACCAAGGGACUAUCUUCUCUUCGUCCAGCUGCUGGAUCAGAAUGAUCAAACUUGGCCUGUAUAUUACAACUUCUGUACUUGCACUGUUGACAAGAGAUAGCAAUCCAUGCUAUAAAAAUAGCAUUUUCCAACACCAUCUAACAGGCAUCCAGUGUCUCUUAACCGAAACAAUACAAUACAGCUACCAUUGCUAAGUGUGAAAUAUU
rnacentral:misc_RNA from 1 species